rnacentral:rRNA from 1 species
UACGGAGGGGGCAAGCGUUAUUCGGAAUCAUUGGGCGUAAAGAGCUCGUAGGCGGUUUGUCGCGUCGAAUGUGAAAACCCGGGGCUCAACCCCGGGCCUGCAUUCGAUACGGGCAGACUAGAAUUCGGUAGGGGAGUCUGGAAUUCCUGGUGUAGCGGUGAAAUGCGCAGAUAUCAGGAGGAACACCGGUGGCGAAGGCGGGACUCUGGGCCGAUACUGACGCUGAGGAGCGAAAGCGUGGGGAGCAAACAGG